GUUGCUUCGGGGGCGACCCCGCCGUUUCGGCGACGGCGCCCCCGGAGGUCAUCAAACACUGCAUCUUUGCGUCGGAGUCUUAAAGUAAAUUUAAACAAAACUUUCAACAACGGAUCUCUUGGUUCUGGCAUCGAUGAAGAACGCAGCGAAAUGCGAUAAGUAAUGUGAAUUGCAGAAUUCAGGGAAUCAUCGAAUCUUUGAACGCACAUUGCGCCCCGUGGAAUUCCGCGGGGCAUGCCUGUUCGAGCGUCAUUUCACCACUCAAGCCUAGCUUGGUAUUGGGCGUCGCGGUUCCGCGCGACUUAAGUCUCCGGCUGAGCAGUUCGUCUCUAAGCGUUGUGGCAUAUAUUUCGCUGAAGAGUUCGGACGGCUUUUGGCCGUUAAAUCUUUCUUAAGGUUGACCUCGGAUCAGGUAGGGAUACCCGCUGAACUUAAGCAUA
rnacentral:rRNA from 1 species